rnacentral:rRNA from 1 species
CCUACGGGUGGCUGCAGUGGGGAAUAUUGCACAAUGGGCGAAACCCUGAUGCAGCAACGCCGCGUGAGUGAAGAAGUAUUUCGGUAUGUAAAGCUCUAUCAGCAGGGAAGAAGAUGAAGGUACCUGAGUAAGAAGCCCCGGCUAACUACGUGCAAGCAGCCGCGGUAAUACGGAGGGGGCGAGGUUUAUCCGGCUUUACUGGGUGUAAAGGGAGCGCAGACGGUGCGCUAAGUCUGUAGUGAAAGCCCGGGGCGCAACCCCGGGACGGCUUUGGAAACUGCCUGACUGGAGUGCUGGAGAGGAGAGCGGAAUUCCAGGUGUAGCAGUGAAAUGCGUAGAUAUCAGGAAGAACACCAGUGGCGAAGGCGGCUUGCUGGACAGUAACUGACGCUGAGGCUCGAAAGCGUGGGUAGCAAACAGGAUUAGAUACCCUAGUAGUC